rnacentral:rRNA from 1 species
UACGUAGGGGGCUAGCGUUGUCCGGAUUUAUUGGGCGUAAAGAGCGUGUAGGCGGCCAGAUAGGUCUGCUGUGAAAACUCGAGGCUCAACCUCGAGAUGUCGGCGGAAACCAUUUGGCUAGAGUCCGGAAGAGGAGAUUGGAAUUCCUGGUGUAGCAGUGGAAUGCGCAGAUAUCAGGAGGAACACCGAUGGCGAAGGCAGAUCUCUGGGCCGUAACUGACGCUGAGGAGCGAAAGCAUGGGGAGCGAACAGG